rfam:[Clostridium] neopropionicum strain DSM-3847 CLNEO_contig000005, whole genome shotgun sequence.
GCCUCGGCAACGGGAAAUCUGAGGAAGCUGGAGGCAAACUUCUGGACUCACGAACAGAAGUCAUAUCAGGUAUAUAUAGAUCUGGCAAGGCUGCUGCAUAAGCCAAAGCCUUAAACUAUCCGCGGGGUCUAUUGGAAACAAUGGAAGAAAGUCAGAAGAAACUUAAAAGGC